UACGUAGGGGGCAAGCGUUGUCCGGAAUCAUUGGGCGUAAAGAGCGUGUAGGCGGCCAGAUAAGUCCGCUGUGAAAUCUCGAGGCUCAACUUCGAGCUGUCGGUGGAAACUGUCUGGCUAGAGUCCGGAAGAGGAGAAUGGAAUUCCUGGUGUAGCGGUGAAAUGCGCAGAUAUCGGGAAGAACACCCGUGGCUAAGGCGGCUCUCUAGUACGGUACUGACGCUGAGACGCGAAAGCGUGGGGAGCGAACAGG
rnacentral:rRNA from 1 species